GUGCUCGCUUCAGCAGCACAUACACUAAAAUUGGAAUGAUACAGAGGAGAUUAGCAUGGUCCCUGCAGAAGGAGGACACACCAAUUCAUGAAGCGUUCCAUAUUUUU
rnacentral:snRNA from 1 species